rnacentral:tRNA from 1 species
GGAGAUGUAUCGAAGUGGUCGUAACGAGAACGACUCGACAUCGUGUUGUCCUUAAUCGGGCACGUGGGUUCGAAUCCCACCAUCUCCGCCA